rnacentral:rRNA from 1 species
AUUGAACGCUGGCGGCAUGCUUUACACAUGCAAGUCGGACGGCAGCACAGAGAAGCUUGCUUCUUGGGUGGCGAGUGGCGAACGGGUGAGUAAUAUAUCGGAACGUACCGAGUAAUGGGGGAUAACUAAUCGAAAGAUUAGCUAAUACCGCAUAUUCUCUGAGGAAAGCAGGGGACCUUCGGGCCUUGCGUUAUUCGAGCGGCCGAUAUCUGAUUAGCUAGUUGGUGGGGUAAAGGCCUACCAAGGCGACGAUCAGUAGCGGGUCUGAGAGGAUGAUCCGCCACACUGGGACUGAGACACGGCCCAGACUCCUACGGGAGGCAGCAGUGGGGAAUUUUGGACAAUGGGCGCAAGCCUGAUCCAGCCAUGCCGCGUGUCUGAAGAGGGCCUUCGGGUUGUAAAGGACUUUUGUCAGGGAAGAAAAGGCUGUUGCUAAUACCGACAGCUGAUGACGGUACCUGAAGAAUAAGCACCGGCUAACUACGUG